rnacentral:tRNA from 2 species
GCGGGGUGGAGCAGCUUGGUAGCUCGUCGGGCUCAUAACCCGAAGGUCGUCGGUUCAAAUCCGGCCCCCGCAACCA